rnacentral:rRNA from 1 species
UACGGAGGAUGCGAGCGUUAUCCGGAUUUAUUGGGUUUAAAGGGUACGUAGGUGGCCCGGUAAGUCAGUGGUGAAAACCUGUCGCUUAACGAUAGGCGUGCCAUUGAUACUGUUGGGCUUGAGUACAGAUGAGGUAGGCGGAAUGUGUAGUGUAGCGGUGAAAUGCAUAGAUAUUACACAGAACUCCGAUUGCGAAGGCAGCUUACUAAACUGACACUGACGCUGAGGUACGAAAGCGUGGGUAGCGAACAGGAUUAGAUACCUUGGUAGUCCACGCCGUAAACGAUGCUCACUGGCUGUAUGCGAUACACCGUAUGCGGCCAAGCGAAAGCGCUAAGUGAGCCACCUGGGGAGUACGCCGGCAACGGUGAA